ACAACUACUGUUUAUGUCAAACAGUGAAAAAAAAGCUUUUUUGCUUUGGAAGGGAGGAAAAUUUAUAGGAAGUUUAACCACAAUGCCUCUGGACUUCUGCAGAUUAAAGGUGGGGGAGUUUACCUUCAGGAUCACCAACUUUCUUGGUUGUAAACCAACUCUAAUCCACUUCCUUGAUCCUCCUGCAAUUGAUUAAUGCCAUGCUAAUCCUGUCCUGGCCAGGCACAACGUGGAAAAGUGAAUGUACUACAUUUUCUACAAGAAAAGUAUUCAGGAAUCUAGAUCUCAAUCCAAGACACUUUAACCUUUGUGGAAGGGUCAGGACGAAACACUCAAUGAGAUUACUGAGCUGCGAUAUCUACAGAAACAGCAAGCAUUUUACCCAUGUGAUGCAUCUUUCUUGAGAGACCAAAGCAACUGUCAGAUCAAGCAUUUCAAGACACAUCAUUUCCAGAAGAGGGGAGUUAGACACACUCUUGAUCGUGUGCUUCUGUUUAUUCUGGUAAGGGAUCUAGGACACCUGUGUUAGUUUUAAAGCUACUACAUGUACAGCACUUGACUGCUAUAUUUUGGCAAGUCCCAGCUGUUAUUUCACAUGUGUGAACUAAGAAAAUACCCAAGGUAAACACAGACUUAGAAGAAGUACCAAAAACAUUUACAAUAAAGCAUGCAAGUAUAGCCCAGUACUUUAACCUGCUAAUAUAUACAGUGUGCUGGCCCUGAUCUAUUUUCCUUUAGAGAGGCAAAGACAUGUAACAAAGCCUAUAUGAAAAACCACAACCAGUUACUAGAUAUUUCUCCUAAAGGAGCAGCACAAAUAUGAAUUCCUCUUCUAAUAUUUUCCUUUACUUAUUGUUGUCACCAGACAAGCUCAUCCAAAUGUAUGCAGCGCAGAACAGAAGCAUUUUUUUCUGUUCGUUUUAUGCAUCUGACAGCAUUUAAUCUAAAAAUCAGUUUAAAUCCAGAUUACUUACAUGUGUGCACACACUCACACUCCCCCUCUACACACACAGUGUUAAAAGGACAUUACUGAUGAUCAUUUAUUUUUCUCCACUCUUGCUGCAUUUUGUAAUAUCCCUUCUCUCUUGAAAAACCACAUAAGAUUGUCUUUAAUGCACUUCAGUGGUGUCAAAAGAACCUCAGGAAAUGAGGACUGAGGUGAACCUAAGGUUCACUGUAUGCCAUCAGUACUCUGAUUAUACAUACUGCUUUGUAAUGGAGGUAAAGAUCUGCGCUCCUGAUGUCCUGCUUUCAAAAAUCAAUAUUCUGUCCACUUUCUGUCUCCUCUAAUUAAACCAAAUUACUUUGACCUGCUUGGUUUCUCCUCCAGAAGUGAUGUUCUAUUAUAACUUACUCUCACCCACAAUCAGGUUUGAGUUAGGCCUCAGAAACUCUUAGAUUUCACUAGAAAUGAGUUUUAAUAGAAAAACAGGUUUUCUUUAUCUCCAUGAUUUCCUGUAUAUGGGUCACAUCCUUUGAAGUACGAUCAUCAGCUCUGUAAGUACUACCCUUAGAGGUAAGUUUUCCAGCUGCCGCCUGACAUAUCUGACAUAACCACCCCAUAGUCUGUGAGCCGUAUCUUUCUGGGCAAAGAAAUAAUAAAACCCUGAGCUAUUGAUUCAGAUUCAUGGGGAGAAAUAAGUUACUUCCAGGCAUCAACCUGAGCACAGGGUGAAGUUUUCUGAGGAAUUUCUGAGAGGCGCCUAAGAGAGAUGAGAAGCUGUAGGAGAAAAGGGUCACUUGAUUACUGCUGAGACCAAAACUUUGCAAUGGGAUGGCAGGACUUUGUGUGACCAGGGUCAUUUCAAGCUCUGAAGGAACAUUUCCCAGUGUUGUAGUUCUUUUUUGCCAAAUUCAGCCCGGAUGCAAAUGAGACCUGUUCUGCUAAAGCUAUGCAAUGGGUGAGUUACCUUGCUGAGUAAGAACCACACACCAUUUCGUGAUUAACUAAUUUCUUACUCAAAAGCUUUCAGUACUUAAAGGCUUCAGACUUAAAAACUUUUUUGUCCCAUGUUUGACAUGGCAAUGUUCAGUUAAAGUAUCAUGUCCCUCUAAUUAUGGGUGCUUCAAACACAGUGAUGUUUUGCUUACAUCCAUUACUGAUCAUUCACUACUCCCAUUCAUCAUAAUCCUGGAUUGCUCUAGUUCACUCAACACUAAUUCUAACUGGCUUUCAUCGUUCCCAUGGAAAACAUACACCAACAAUUAAAUCUUUCAGCAAAGGACUCAACUCAUUUGGAGGUUUAUAAAAGCACUGAGGAAAAAAACCCCACCAUGUAUAUAUUUAUGACAGCCACAGCAAUAAGUAUGUAAAUCUCUGAUAACAAUGCAGAUAAUUCCAUCGGUGGUGAAAAGUUAAUUUGAUGGGAUCUGGCAUUUAUAUUUCUGAUGCCAGACAGUGUAAUGCAUUUUAGAGUGGUAGGUCUAAAGAUUCUUGAGAGCUUCCUGGAUAACUUGAAAAGAAGAAAGAGAAGUGGGAAUGUGGGGAGACAAGGAAAAGGCACAUGCAGUUAUAUACAGAAGUAGAAAGUCACAUCUAGAUUACACAUAGAAAGUGUAAUCUAGAAAACAUUCCUUUACUAUAGUGAUAUAUUAUGAGUUAGUUAAAUGUUAUCUUUAGAAACAGUAAAGUGCAUGCCAUUACUUUGAGGAAAGGAGAGUAGAUGCCCAAGGCAGAGAAAAUUUUGGCUCCCUCAUUUCUUACCCUUGCAGAGUUUGUGCAUACUGAACUCUGGCCAACACUCUCUACUGUCGAUCCAGCUCCAGCCACCUCCAACGACUUAUUUGAAGUCCUGCAGAAAACCUGGGUGAGGGCUGGGGAAUAAAGCAAGCUCUCUGUCUUCUUGCCCCAUGCUGUAACCAUGAGACCACCCUCCCACAUAAAAGCCUGAAGAUAUCACAGUAUCAGGAGAAAGGCAUUUCUAUAACUUUCCAUAUAUUUUAGCCUAAAUACCUUGGCAAUACUAGACCAUAAGCAGUGAGCGUAAUGGUUUGAGGGCUGAUGGCUCUGUCAAAGAAAUACUUACAUCGGGUUGAUACUAGCUUAAUAUGGUCUUUACUACUCCCAUUGUGAUGAUUUAUAUGUCCUUCCAAAUCCUGAAAGAAAGAAAUGAGGCUUAGCAUUACCUUUCUAAAGACUAUAAUUGUGUUUCUAUAAAGAAAGCAUAACUGGUGGAUAGCUUUCUAUGUGUAGAUAACCUUAGUAAUGAAGAAUUGUAAGUGGUACUCAUUCUGUGUAUGUGUAUACAAUAUGCAGUAAAAGGAACAAGAGAAAAGAGAAGGUGAGAAAC